rnacentral:lncRNA from 1 species
CGAGGUGGCGGCAGGUUACUCCUCUGCAGGCGGGUUCUCACUAGCUGGCUGCGUUGUUCUCUGUGGCAGGCCGGGAGCUGUAGUUCCUGUGCCUUCUCAGCCCUGCAGCAGUGGCCCUGUCUGUCUGUCCUUUACUGGACAUGUGCCGUUCACACCAGAGUCCCCGUAGGUCAUCGGGGACAGUGGAAUUUCCCUGUUUUUCCCUGGUACAGGGUUGGGGUUUAGGGUUAUGGCCAUUUAGGGUUAGCGUUACGGUUAGCUUAGAAGGCUGGGUUUGGGUUUGGGUUAGGCCUAUUUGUUGGCCAUGUAGACCCCUUAGCACCCCCCUAGUGCACUCUGGACUACUCUUUCAGUCUUCCUGCUGCCCCAGAGCUGGAUCUGGGCCCUCUAGACCCCUUCGGAMCCCUCUUGUUCCACCAGAACCCCUCCGGAGACCUUGGUUGUGCCCCAGAGCUGUGUUCUGGCCCUCCACACCCUGCACAACCUCUCUUGUCCCCUCAGACCACCUCCGCACGUCUUCCUUGCUCCCCUCCACACCCUUUAGCAGCCCUCUGUUCUGCUCUGGUCCCCUCCUUUGAAUUUUUUGUUUCCCCCUGCAGGCCUCUGUUGGCCCUUUGCACCCCUUAGCUUCACUCUAGUGCGCUCUGGACUAUUCUUUCAGCCUUUCUUUGUGCCCCACAGCUGUCCUUUGGCCCUCCAGUCCCUUUAGAUGGGGCGGCCCUGACAGUGGGACAUGAAAAAGACACCUUGGACUACAUCCAGCCGAAGAAACGUAAGCCGAAGGAUCUGAGUAAAUAACUGCUUGUCUAGGUCUGUUACCUCACAACACAUUGCCAGAGUUUUUUUUAUGAACGAUCCUCCUUGGGGAAGCGCCUGUUCGUUCCGUGAAUAUGAGUGCAAAAACGCGUACGUUACUGACCCUUGAAAGCGAGUCUGUGGCGCUGGGGUAGCGUGCGUAGCCAAGCCUAAAUCCCGUAGUAACUCCUUUCGAUGUCGUUCUCUUCUACGAAAGCCCUUA